GAUGAACGCUGGCGGCGUGCUUAACACAUGCAAGUCGAACGGAAAGGCUCCUGCUUGCAGGGGUACUCGAGUGGCGAACGGGUGUGUAACACGUGGGUGAUCUGCCCUGCACUUCGGGAUAAGCCUGGGAAACUGGGUCUAAUACCGGAUAGGACGAUGGUUUGGAUGCCAUUGUGGAAAGUUUUUCGGUGUGGGAUGAGCUCGCGGCCUAUCAGCUUGUUGGUGGGGUAAUGGCCUACCAAGGCGUCGACGGGUAGCCGGCCUGAGAGGGUGUACGGCCACAUUGGGACUGAGAUACGGCCCAGACUCCUACGGGAGGCAGCAGUGGGGAAUAUUGCACAAUGGGCGCAAGCCUGAUGCAGCGACGCCGCGUGGGGGAUGACGGCCUUCGGGUUGUAAACUCCUUUCGCUAGGGACGAAGCGCAAGUGACGGUACCUGGAGAAGAAGCACCGGCUAACUACGUG
rnacentral:rRNA from 1 species